rnacentral:rRNA from 1 species
UACGUAGGUGACAAGCGUUGUCCGGAUUUACUGGGCGUAAAGAGCGCGCAGGCGGUCGUUCAAGUCGAGUGUGAAAGCCCCCGGCUCAACCGGGGAGGGUCAUUCGAUACUGAUCGACUCGAAGGCAGGAGAGGGUAGUGGAAUUCCCGGUGUAGUGGUGAAAUGCGUAGAUAUCGGGAGGAACACCAGUGGCGAAGGCGACUACCUGGCCUGUUCUUGACGCUGAGGCGCGAAAGCUAGGGGAGCAAACAGG